rnacentral:rRNA from 1 species
CUUCCGUAGGGUGAACCUGCGGAAGGAUCAUUACCGAGUGCGGGUCCUUUGGGCCCAACCUCCCAUCCGUGUCUAUUAUACCCUGUUGCUUCGGCGGGCCCGCCGCUUGUCGGCCGCCGGGGGGGCGCCUUUGCCCCCCGGGCCCGUGCCCGCCGGAGACCCCAACACGAACACUGUCUGAAAGCGUGCAGUCUGAGUUGAUUGAAUGCAAUCAGUUAAAACUUUCAACAAUGGAUCUCUUGGUUCCGGCAUCGAUGAAGAACGCAGCGAAAUGCGAUAACUAAUGUGAAUUGCAGAAUUCAGUGAAUCAUCGAGUCUUUGAACGCACAUUGCGCCCCCUGGUAUUCCGGGGGGCAUGCCUGUCCGAGCGUCAUUGCUGCCCUCAAGCCCGGCUUGUGUGUUGGGUCGCCGUCCCCCUCUCCGGGGGGACGGGCCCGAAAGGCAGCGGCGGCACCGCGUCCGAUCCUCGAGCGUAUGGGGCUUUGUCACAUGCUCUGUAGGAUUGGCCGGCGCCUGCCGACGUUUUCCAACCAUUUCUCCAGGUGACCUCGGAUCACGUAGGGAACCCCAUCU